rnacentral:rRNA from 1 species
CUUACCUACCCUUGACAUGUCUAGAAGUUACCAGAGAUGGUUUCGUGCUCGAAAGAGAACUAGAACACAGGUGCUGCAUGGCCGUCGUCAGCUCGUGUCGUGAGAUGUUGGGUUAAGUCCCGCAACGAGCGCAACCCUUGUCAUUAGUUGCUACGUAAGGGCACUCUAAUGAGACUGCCGGUGACAAACCGUAGGAAGGUGGGGAUGACGUCAGGUCAUCAUGGCCCUUAUGGGUAGGGCUACACACGUCAUACAAUGGCCGGUACAGAGGGCUGCCAACCCGCGAGGUGGAGCCAAUCCCAGAAAACCGGUCGUAGUCCGGAUCGCAGUCUGCAACUCGACUGCGUGAAGUCGGAAUCGCUAGUAAUCGCGGAUCAGCUUGCCGCGGUGAAUACGUUCCCGGGUCUUGUACACACCGCCCGUCACACCAUGGGAGCGGGUUCUGCCAGAAGUAGUUAGCCUAACCGCAAGGGGGGGCGAUUACCACGGCAGGGUUCGUGACU